AUUUCUUGCAGCCGUAAGGCUGAGACAGCCAAAAAUGAAACCGAAUCUGAGCCUGCAGCGUGGCAAGUUAUAUCAUUAGCAGAUGCCACGGCUUUCAUCAGCUCUGCUCCGUGGACAUCAGAUCUUUGGGAAACUGCAUGCUGAAGCCUGACUCAACGAUGGCCCACGCUCACCAAGGCAGGGAUGGCAGAGAUGCCGAGGUGGACCGAAGAGACAGCUGUGUGAGUUAACCGUGGGUGACCCAUCCUACCUGAGGACACCUCAAAAUACUUUCAUGCUUUCCUUCGCCAAGAGGGUGAGGACCAGGAUGCUGAGGCAACCCAACAGCUUUCAAAGGACUCGGUGUCCAGGUGUGGAGUGCUGCCAGUGAUCUGACUCCUGAUUUCUGGGGGAAGGCAGAGUAAGGGGGCACCUAGCCCUUGGAGGGCAGAGGCCAUGGCAGCCAUGACUGGCCAUCAGCAGCAGGACCAGGUGGCCAUCCCGGUGGUCUGACCAUGAGGACGGGUGGGGUUAAUGGAUCACAAAGUCCCCAGGGCGAACAUGGAUCAACGACCCACAAGGACCUAAGGCUUUUCUUUUAAAAAAUAAUUUAUUUUUGA